AGCCGUGCGGUGAGCACAGAGCGAACUAUUCUUUCGCCUUUUACUAAAGAAUACCGUGUGCUCGCCGCUUAUAGCGGCAUACGCCUAUUUUUGGAGGCCUAUUUCCUUUUCCGGAAUGG
rfam:Gossypium raimondii Chr11_contig_1304, whole genome shotgun sequence.